GAUACCCCAGGAGCAGCUGCCCCUGGGCUGCGGUGUCACAAAGACAGAAGUCACAAUGCAGAAACAGUGUCUCACGGGUGCAUUUGGCAAAGCCUGAGGAAGUGUCACCGGUCAUCUGCUCAGCGAGCGGGACACCUGAAAGCCCAGCUGGGGCAGCCUGCAGGGCGCCUUCACCCACUGCUGCUGCUCAGAGACAAUCAGGAUUGCCCUGGGACCAUCUCCCACUGUGUGAGCACGUCCCCCAGGACGAGCUCCGCCAGUGUCACCCCGCUGUGCCGCUGGACCGCCUCGUUCACACCUGCAGCCCUGACUCGGGAUCCCCGCGGCCAGCAGCCUCGCCCACGCCUGCGCCCGGUGUGUCUGACGGCACCUCCACUUCUCGCGUCCCGCGGAGCCUCACGUUUCCCUGCCUCAGGCCUUCCUCCGCAGGCUUCCGUCUCAGCCCUCCUUCCCUGGGUCCCACCUGGACUGCUCCCUUUCCCACAUGUCAUUCUCUCUGCCCCCCACAUGUACCCUGAAUCUGGGUACUUUUCUCCCUCUCCGGUGCCUUACUCUUAACCCAAGCCACUGUCAUCUCCACCUAGGCUCCUGGAGCAAUAGUAAAUAAUUACAAUAUUUAUUGGUUUACCAGGGACUCUGCUAAGCAUUUCAUCUGUAUCAGCCUGUUUAAUCCUCACCACAACCCUGUGAGCUGGACACUAUCUUUGCUUACAGAUAGGGAAACUGAGACACAGAGAGGUUAAGCGAUUUGCGCAAGCUCACACAGCUGUUAGGAGGAUGUUCCAGGAUUCAAACCCUGGCAGUUUGGCCCUGGUGACCCACAGAGUGCUGUCUGGCUUCUCAUGCAGGGCAGAGAAGGUCAGAGCUGGGCUCCUCCCAGGCACCUGUGGUGGAAGGAGGAAAGGGGAAAGAG
rnacentral:lncRNA from 1 species